CCUACGGGACGCAGCAGUGGGGAAUAUUGCACAAUGGGGGAAACCCUGAUGCAGCGACGCCGCGUGAGUGAAGAAGUGUUUCGGCACGUAAAGCUCUGUCAGCAGGGAAGAAAAUGACGGUACCUGACCAAGAAGCCCCGGCUAACUACGUGCCAGCAGCCGCGGUAAUACGUAGGGGGCAAGCGUUAUCCGGAUUUACUGGGUGUAAAGGGAGCGCAGACGGCAGCGCAAGUCCGGGGUGAAAGCCCGCGGCCCAACCGCGGGACUGCCCUGGAAACUGUGCGGCUGGAGUGCCGGAGAGGUAA
rnacentral:rRNA from 1 species